rnacentral:rRNA from 1 species
GGUUAAGCGACUAAGCGUACACGGUGGAUGCCCUGGCAGUCAGAGGCGAUGAAGGACGUGCUAAUCUGCGAAAAGCGCCGGCGAGGUGAUAUGAACCCUUGACCCGGCGAUGUCCGAAUGGGGAAACCCAGUGCAAUCCGUUGCACUAUCGUUAACUGAAUACAUAGGUUAACGAGGCGAACCGGGGGAACUGAAACAUCUAAGUACCCCGAGGAAAAGAAAUCAACCGAGAUUCCCCCAGUAGCGGCGAGCGAACGGGGAGCAGCCCAGAGUCUGAAUCAGCUUGUGUGUUAGUGGAAGCGUCUGGAAAGUCGCACGGUACAGGGUGAAAGUCCCGUACACGAAAGCACACAGGCUGUGAACUCGAAGAGUAGGGCGGGACACGUGGUAUCCUGUCUGAAUAUGGGGGGACCAUCCUCCAAGGCUAAAUACUCCUGACUGACCGAUAGUGAACCAGUACCGUGAGGGAAAGGCGAAAAGAACCCCGGCGAGGGGAGUGAAAAAGAACCUGAAACCGUGUACGUACAAGCAGUGGGAGCACCUUCGGGUGUGACUGCGUACCUUUUGUAUAAUGGGUCAGCGACUUAUAUUCUGUAGCAAGGUUAACCGUAUAGGGGAGCCGAAGGGAAACCGAGUCUUAACUGGGCGUUAAGUUGCAGGGUAUAGACCCGAAACCCGGUGAUCUAGCCAUGGGCAGGUUGAAGGUUGGGUAACACUAACUGGAGGACCGAACCGACUAAUGUUGAAAAAUUAGCGGAUGACCUGUGGCUGGGGGUGAAAGGCCAAUCAAACCGGGAGAUAGCUGGUUCUCCCCGAAAGCUAUUUAGGUAGCGCCUCGUGAACUCAUCUUCGGGGGUAGAGCACUGUUUCGGCUAGGGGGCCAUCCCGGCUUACCAACCCGAUGCAAACUACGAAUACCGAAGAAUGUUAUCACGGGAGACACACGGCGGGUGCUAACGUCCGUCGUGAAGAGGGAAACAACCCAGACCGCCAGCUAAGGUCCCAAAGUCAUGGUUAAGUGGGAAACGAUGUGGGAAGGCCCAGACAGCCAGGAUGUUGGCUUAGAAGCAGCCAUCAUUUAAAGAAAGCGUAAUAGCUCACUGGUCGAGUCGGCCUGCGCGGAAGAUGUAACGGGGCUAAACCAUGCACCGAAGCUGCGGCAGCGACGCUUAUGCGUUGUUGGGUAGGGGAGCGUUCUGUAAGCCGUUGAAGGUGGCCUGUGAGGGUUGCUGGAGGUAUCAGAAGUGCGAAUGCUGACAUAAGUAACGAUAAAGCGGGUGAAAAGCCCGCUCGCCGGAAGACCAAGGGUUCCUGUCCAACGUUAAUCGGGGCAGGGUGAGUCGACCCCUAAGGCGAGGCCGAAAGGCGUAGUCGAUGGGAAACAGGUUAAUAUUCCUGUACUUGGUGUUACUGCGAAGGGGGGACGGAGAAGGCUAUGUUAGCCGGGCGACGGUUGUCCCGGUUUAAGCAUGUAGGCGGAGGUUCCAGGUAAAUCCGGUACCUUUUAACGCUGAGGUGUGAUGACGAGGCACUACGGUGCUGAAGUAACAAAUGCCCUGCUUCCAGGAAAAGCCUCUAAGCAUCAGGUAACACGAAAUCGUACCCCAAACCGACACAGGUGGUCAGGUAGAGAAUACCAAGGCGCUUGAGAGAACUCGGGUGAAGGAACUAGGCAAAAUGGUGCCGUAACUUCGGGAGAAGGCACGCUGAUAUGUAGGUGAAGCCCCUGCGGGUGGAGCUGAAAUCAGUCGAAGAUACCAGCUGGCUGCAACUGUUUAUUAAAAACACAGCACUGUGCAAACACGAAAGUGGACGUAUACGGUGUGACGCCUGCCCGGUGCCGGAAGGUUAAUUGAUGGGGUUAGCGGUAACGCGAAGCUCUUGAUCGAAGCCCCGGUAAACGGCGGCCGUAACUAUAACGGUCCUAAGGUAGCGAAAUUCCUUGUCGGGUAAGUUCCGACCUGCACGAAUGGCGUAAUGAUGGCCAGGCUGUCUCCACCCGAGACUCAGUGAAAUUGAACUCGCUGUGAAGAUGCAGUGUACCCGCGGCAAGACGGAAAGACCCCGUGAACCUUUACUAUAGCUUGACACUGAACACUGGUCCUUGAUGUGUAGGAUAGGUGGGAGGCUUUGAAGCGUGGACGCCAGUCUGCGUGGAGCCAUCCUUGAAAUACCACCCUUUAAUGGCUGGUGUUCUAACGUAGACCCGUAAUCCGGGUUGCGGACAGUGUCUGGUGGGUAGUUUGACUGGGGCGGUCUCCUCCCAAAGAGUAACGGAGGAGCACGAAGGUUAGCUAAUCCUGGUCGGACAUCAGGAGGUUAGUGCAAUGGCAUAAGCUAGCUUGACUGCGAGAGUGACGGCUCGAGCAGGUGCGAAAGCAGGUCAUAGUGAUCCGGUGGUUCUGAAUGGAAGGGCCAUCGCUCAACGGAUAAAAGGUACUCCGGGGAUAACAGGCUGAUACCGCCCAAGAGUUCAUAUCGACGGCGGUGUUUGGCACCUCGAUGUCGGCUCAUCACAUCCUGGGGCUGAAGUAGGUCCCAAGGGUAUGGCUGUUCGCCAUUUAAAGUGGUACGCGAGCUGGGUUUAGAACGUCGUGAGACAGUUCGGUCCCUAUCUGCCGUGGGCGCUGGAGAAUUGAGGGGGGCUGCUCCUAGUACGAGAGGACCGGAGUGGACGCAUCACUGGUGUUCGGGUUGUCAUGCCAAUGGCACUGCCCGGUAGCUAAAUGCGGAAGAGAUAAGUGCUGAAAGCAUCUAAGCACGAAACUUGCCCCGAGAUGAGUUCUCCCUGAGACUUUGAGUCUCCUGAAGGAACGUUGAAGACGACGACGUUGAUAGGUCGGGUGUGUAAGCGCAGCGAUGCGUUGAGCUAACCGAUACUAAUGAACCGUGAGGCUUAACCUU